UACAGAGGGGCAAGCGUUGUUCGGAAUUACUGGGCGUAAAGGGCGCGUAGGCGGCCUGUUAAGUCGAACGUGAAAUCCCCGGGCUCAACCCGGGAACUGCGUCCGAUACUGGCGGGCUCGAGGCGGGUAGGGGUGAGCGGAACUCCAGGUGGAGCGGUGAAAUGCGUAGAUAUCAGGAGGAACACCAAUUGCGAAGGCAGCUCGCUGGGACGUUACUGACGCUGAGACGCGAAAGCGUGGGAGCAAACAGG
rnacentral:rRNA from 1 species